rnacentral:rRNA from 1 species
GACGAACGCUGGCGGCGUGCCUAAUACAUGCAAGUAGAACGCUGAAGGAGGAGCUUGCUUCUCCGGAUGAGUUGCGAACGGGUGAGUAACGCGUAGGUAACCUGCCUGGUAGCGGGGGAUAACUAUUGGAAACGAUAGCUAAUACCGCAUAAGAGUAGAUGUCGCAUGACAUUUGCUUAAAAGGUGCAACUGCACCACUACCAGAUGGACCUGCGUUGUAUUAGCUAGUUGGUGAGGUAACGGCUCACCAAGGCAACGAUACAUAGCCGACCUAAGAGGGUGAUCGGCCACACUGGGACUGAGACACGGCCCAGACUCCUACGGGAGGCAGCAGUAGGGAAUCUUCGGCAAUGGACGGAAGUCUGACCGAGCAACGCCGCGUGAGUGAAGAAGGUUUUCGGAUCGUAAAGCUCUGUUGUAAGAGAAGAACGAGUGUGAGAGUGGAAAGUUCACACUGUGACGGUAUCUUACCAGAAAGGGACGGCUAACUACGUG